rnacentral:rRNA from 1 species
GAUGAACGCUGGCGGCGUGCCUAAUACAUGCAAGUCGAGCGAACAGAUAAGGAGCUUGCUCCUUUGAAGUUAGCGGCGGACGGGUGAGUAACACGUGGGUAACCUACCUAUAAGACUGGGAUAACUUCGGGAAACCGGAGCUAAUACCGGAUAACAUUUAGAACCGCAUGGUUCUAAAGUGAAAGAUGGUUUUGCUAUCACUUAUAGAUGGACCCGCGCCGUAUUAGCUAGUUGGUAAGGUAACGGCUUACCAAGGCGACGAUACGUAGCCGACCUGAGAGGGUGAUCGGCCACACUGGAACUGAGACACGGUCCAGACUCCUACGGGAGGCAGCAGUAGGGAAUCUUCCGCAAUGGGCGAAAGCCUGACGGAGCAACGCCGCGUGAGUGAUGAAGGGUUUCGGCUCGUAAAACUCUGUUAUUAGGGAAGAACAAAUGUGUAAGUAACUGUGCACAUCUUGACGGUACCUAAUCAGAAAGCCACGGCUAACUACGUGCCAGCAGCCGCGGUAAUACGUAUGUGGCAAGCGUUAUCCGGAAUUAUUGGGCGUAAAGCGCGCGUAGGCGGUUUCUUAAGUUCUGAUGUGAAAGCCCACGGCUCAACCGUGGAGGGUCAUUGGAAACUGGGAAACUUGAGUGCAGAAGAGGAAAGUGGAAUUCCAUGUGUAGCGGUGAAAUGCGCAGAGAUAUGGAGGAACACCAGUGGCGAAGGCGACUUUCUGGUCCGUAGCUGACGCUGAUGUGCGAAAGCGUGGGGAUCAAACAGGAUUAGAUACCCUGGUAGUCCACGCCGUAAACGAUGAGUGCUAAGUGUUAGGGGGUUUCCGCCCCUUAGUGCUGCAGCUAACGCAUUAAGCACUCCGCCUGGGGAGUACGACCGCAAGGUUGAAACUCAAAGGAAUUGACGGGGACCCGCACAAGCGGUGGAGCAUGUGGUUUAAUUCGAAGCAACGCGAAGAACCUUACCAAAUCUUGACAUCCUUUGAAAACUCUAGAGAUAGAGCCUUCCCCUUCGGGGGACAAAGUGACAGGUGGUGCAUGGUUGUCGUCAGCUCGUGUCGUGAGAUGUUGGGUUAAGUCCCGCAACGAGCGCAACCCUUAAGCUUAGUUGCCAUCAUUAAGUUGGGCACUCUAGGUUGACUGCCGGUGACAAACCGGAGGAAGGUGGGGAUGACGUCAAAUCAUCAUGCCCCUUAUGAUUUGGGCUACACACGUGCUACAAUGGACAAUACAAAGGGCAGCUAAACCGCGAGGUCAUGCAAAUCCCAUAAAGUUGUUCUCAGUUCGGAUUGUAGUCUGCAACUCGACUACAUGAAGCUGGAAUCGCUAGUAAUCGUAGAUCAGCAUGCUACGGUGAAUACGUUCCCGGGUCU